rnacentral:rRNA from 1 species
GAUGAACGCUGGCGGCGUGCCUAAUACAUGCAAGUCGAGCGAACGGACGAGAAGCUUGCUUUUCUGAUGUUAGCGGCGGACGGGUGAGUAACACGUGGAUAACCUACCUAUAAGCCUGGGAUACCUUCGGGAAACCGGAGCUAAUACCGGAUAAUAUUUUGAACCGCAUUGUUCAACAGUGAAAGACUUUCUUGCUGUCCCUUAUCUCUGCCUCCGCGCUGCAUUAGCUAGUUGGUAAGGUAACGGCUUACCAAGGCAACGAUGCAUAGCCGACCUGAGAGGGUGAUCGGCCACACUGGAACUGAGACACGGUGCAGACGCCUGCGGGAGGCAGCAGUAGGGAAUCUUCCGCAAUGGGCGAAAGCCUGAAGGAGGAGGGCCGAGUGAGAGAUGAAGGUCGUCGGAGCGUAAAACUCUGUUAUGAGGGAAGAACAUAUGUGUAAGUAAAUGUGCACAUCUUGACGGUACCUAAUGAGAAAGCCACGGCUAACUACGCG